rnacentral:rRNA from 1 species
CCUACGGGAGGCAGCAGUGGGGGAUAUUGCACAAUGGGGGAAACCCUGAUGCAGCGACGCCGCGUGGGUGAAGAAGCGCCUCGGUGCGUAAAGCCCUGUCAGCAGGGAAGAAAAUGACGGUACCUGAAGAAGAAGCCCCGGCUAACUACGUGCCAGCAGCCGCGGUAAUACGUAGGGGGCAAGCGUUAUCCGGAUGUACUGGGUGGAAAGGGGGCGCAGACGGCGAUGCAAGCCAGGAGUGAAAGCCCGGGGUCCAACCCCGGGACGGCUCUUGGAACUGCGUGGCUAGAGUGCAGGAGGGGAAGGCGGAAUUCCUGGUGUAGCGGUGAAAUGCGUAGAUAUCAGGAGGAACACCGGUGGCGAAGGCGGCCUGCUGGACGGCAACUGACGUUGAGGCCCGAAAGCGUGGGGAGCAAACAGGAUUAGAUACCCUUGUAGUC